GUUUUUUAGUGUUUUAUUUAAAGUUUAACCUGCCCCUUGAUAAUUAUUAAAAGGCUGCAGUAUUUUGACUGUACAAAGGUAGCAUAAUCAUUAGUUUUUUAAUUGAAAACUUGUAUGAAUGGUUGAAUGAAAAAUUAACUUUUUUUUUUAAAUUAUUGAAAUUUACUUUUUAAUUAAAAGGUUAAAAUAAUUUUAAAAGACGAGAAGACCCUAUAGAGUUUUAUAAUAUAAUUUAUAAUAAAAAAAAAGUUAAUUUAUAAUUUAAUAAUUUAUAUUAUUUUAUUGGGGUGAUAAUAAAAUUUAAUUAACUUUUAUUAAUUUUAUUGUCAUUGAUAUAUGAAUUAUUGAUCUAUUAUUAUUGAUUAAAAAUUUAAAUUACCUUAGGGAUAACAGCGUAAUUUUUUUUUAAGUUCAUAUUAAUAAAAAAUUUUGCGACCUCGAUGUUGGAUUAAAAUUUAAUUUUAGGGGCAAAAGUUUAAAAUUUAAGUCUGUUCGACUUUUAAAUUCUU
rnacentral:rRNA from 1 species